CGGUGUUGGAUGUUGAGUUCCCGAAGGAUCCUGAAAAAGGACAUUGUAAAGGACUUGCGUAUAUUGAAUUUGAUAAACUUGAGCAUGCAAAGACAGCAGCACAACGUUUAAAUGGGACAGAGAUAGCUGGGCAGACUAUUAAGAUAUUAUCAUGUGCUGAUUAUUUUAAGGCACAACGCCAGGGAAAAAAAGCAGCAGGUUUGCUACCCUAGGAGUAAGAUGCCAAAUUCAAAAGUGCAGUUUGAUCAUGUUGACAUCUCUCUGCUGCACGAUAAUUUCAGCCUCAAAUUCAUUGCCAACUUUUGCUUUUAUAGGUUAUUUCCUUGUGUGGGGUACAUACUACAGUUCUGCUUCAUAUGUAUGAUGAUCCCUAAGUUGUUCUUUUGGCCUCAGCAGAUCAUAUCUAAUGUUUAUGCAUCUAUCUGAAUUUUAAUUUAGAUGAAGUCAAAUAUUUUGAA